CUGUCGCCAAGCGGUAAGGCACAGGACUUUGACUCCUGCAGUCGUGGGUUCGAAUCCCGCCAGC
rnacentral:tRNA from 1 species